rnacentral:rRNA from 1 species
GGAUGCGAUCAUACCAGUACUAAUGCACCGGAUCCCAUCAGAAUUCCGUAGUCAAGCGUGCUUGGGCGAGAGUAGUACUAGGAUGGGUGACCUCCUGGGAAGUCCUCGUGUUGCAUCCC